rnacentral:rRNA from 1 species
GGGUUGUGAGGUUAAGCGACUAAGCGUACACGGUGGAUGCCCUGGCAGUCAGAGGCGAUGAAGGGCGUGCUAAUCUGCGAUAAGCGCCGGUAAGGUGAUAUGAACCGUUAUAACCGGCGAUACCCGAAUGGGGAAACCCAGUGUGAUUCGUCACACUAUCAUUAACUGAAUCCAUAGGUUAAUGAGGCGAACCGGGGGAACUGAAACAUCUAAGUACCCCGAGGAAAAGAAAUCAACCGAGAUUCCCCCAGUAGCGGCGAGCGAACGGGGAGGAGCCCAGAGCCUGAAUCAGCAUGUGUGUUAGUGGAAGCGUCUGGAAAGGCGCGCGAUACAGGGUGACAGCCCCGUACACAAAAGCGCAUGUGCUGUGAGCUCGAUGAGUAGGGCGGGACACGUGGUAUCCUGUCUGAAUAUGGGGGGACCAUCCUCCAAGGCUAAAUACUCCUGACUGACCGAUAGUGAACCAGUACCGUGAGGGAAAGGCGAAAAGAACCCCGGCGAGGGGAGUGAAAAAGAACCUGAAACCGUGUACGUACAAGCAGUGGGAGCACCCUUUGGGUGUGACUGCGUACCUUUUGUAUAAUGGGUCAGCGACUUAUAUUCUGUAGCAAGGUUAACCGAAUAGGGGAGCCGGAGGGAAACCGAGUCUUAAUUGGGCGUUAAGUUGCAGGGUAUAGACCCGAAACCCGGUGAUCUAGCCAUGGGCAGGUUGAAGGUUGGGUAACACUAACUGGAGGACCGAACCGACUAAUGUUGAAAAAUUAGCGGAUGACCUGUGGCUGGGGGUGAAAGGCCAAUCAAACCGGGAGAUAGCUGGUUCUCCCCGAAAGCUAUUUAGGUAGCGCCUCGUGAAUUCAUCUCCGGGGGUAGAGCACUGUUUCGGCUAGGGGGCCAUCCCGGCUUACCAACCCGAUGCAAACUGCGAAUACCGGAGAAUGUUAUCACGGGAGACACACGGCGGGUGCUAACGUCCGUCGUGAAGAGGGAAACAACCCAGACCGCCAGCUAAGGUCCCAAAGUCAUGGUUAAGUGGGAAACGAUGUGGGAAGGCCCAGACAGCCAGGAUGUUGGCUUAGAAGCAGCCAUCAUUUAAAGAAAGCGUAAUAGCUCACUGGUCGAGUCGGCCUGCGCGGAAGAUGUAACGGGGCUAAACCAUGCACCGAAGCUGCGGCAGCGACACUGUGUGUUGUUGGGUA